GAGAAAUGCUAUCUCAGUGUUUUAUAUCAAAUUUGGUCUAGUAGCCAUUCAAGUACAUCAAAGAAAGAAAAAAAAACAUAAACAUGAAUACCUUAGCAAUAGUUAUCGUACUUGCUGUGAUGGUUACUUUAGCCACUGCUCGCGGUUAUGAUAGUUACAAUAGAAAUCAAAGAUCAUGGGAUUUGCAGGGCUCUAGAGGUCUGAAUAAUGGAUGGAAUAGUAGACAUCUGACUGGAAGCUGGAACAGCGGACAGCUGAUAGGGGGAUUGAAUAGCGGAGGCAGAAGAUACAAAAGAGCAGCUACUGGAUACGGGUCAUUUGAUCCAUACAGAGGCAGUCAUCUGGACAGUGGAUUAGAACGGUUGAAUACAUGGGGAACUAAUUCAAGAAGACGAUCAAAUUUAGGGUGGAGAUCUAAUUCAAGAUGGAAUCAACAAAGAUAUUAAGAAAAGACGAGGACACAAGGAGUACAUCACAACAUCUGUACAUGACAUCACUCAUCCGUAGAUUUUUACUUUUUCAAAUAAAACUGUAAAGAUUA